UGGAAAAAGUGGUUUUGGACAAACAGUAAAUAGCUUGAUUCUCCCUGAAAUCCUCUUGAAAUCACAAUGCUCCGCAGCUCAUGCUCUUGCACAAACGUACACGUCCUUAGCUGACUUCCCAGAACUCUCACGAGAAGUUAAUAUGGCUGCACAAGAAAUGAAGGCUGCACAUAUUUUAUCUCGUGGUCUAAUGACAACGUUUGGAGGUACUUUUCAUCAUCUAGUUGAUUCAACCAUUCCAAUGGUAUUGGAAGCAAUAAAUGUAAAGGAUGUUGAGCUACUUGGACAGGCUUUUGA